UACGGGGGGGGCAAGCGUUGUUCGGAAUUACUGGGCGUAAAGGGUUUGUAGGUGGCUUGCUAAGUCAGACGUGAAAUCCCCAGGCUCAACCUGGGAACUGCGUCCGAUACUGGCAGGCUUGAAUCCGGGAGAGGGAUGUGGAAUUCCAGGUGUAGCGGUGAAAUGCGUAGAUAUCGGAAGGAACACCAGUGGCGAAAGCGGCUUCCUGGUCCAGCACCGACGUUCAGGCACGAAAGCGUGGGGAGCAAACAGG
rnacentral:rRNA from 1 species